rnacentral:rRNA from 1 species
GGUUUAAUUCGAUGAUACGCGAGGAACCUUACCAGGGCUCGAACGCACGACGACAGGGGCGGAAAACGUCCUCUUCUUCGGACGGCGUGCGAGGUGCUGCAUGGCUGUCGUCAGCUCGUGCCGUGAGGUGUCGGGUUAAGUCCCAUAACGAGCGCAACCCCCAUCUCUAGUUGCCAGCGGGUAAUGCCGGGGACUCUAGAGAAACUGCCCGUGUAAACGGUGA